GACGAACGCUGGCGGCGUGCUUAACACAUGCAAGUCGAACGGUAAGGCCCUUCGGGGUACACGAGUGGCGAACGGGUGAGUAACACGUGGGUGAUCUGCCCUGCGCUUCGGGAUAAGCCUGGGAAACUGGGUCUAAUACCGGAUAGGACCACUGCCCGCAUGGGCGGUGGUGGAAAGCCUUUGCGGUGUGGGAUGGGCCCGCGGGCUAUCAGCUUGUUGGUGGGGUGAUGGCCUACCAACGCGACGACGGGUAGCCGGCCUGAGAGGGUGACCGGCCGCACGGGGACUGAGAUACGGACCAGACUCGUACGGGAGGCAGCAGUGGGGAAUAUUGCACAGUGGGCGCAAGCCUGAUGCAGCGAGGCCGCGUGAGGGAUGACGGCCUUCGGGUUGUAAACCUCUUUCAGCACCGACGAAGCGCAAGUGACGGUAGGUGCAGAAGAAGGACCGGCCAACUACGUGCCAGCCGCCGCAGUAA
rnacentral:rRNA from 1 species